CCUACGGGAGGCAGCAGUGAGGAAUAUUGGUCAAUGGCCGGAAGGCUGAACCAGCCAAGCCGCGUGAAGGACGAAGGUGCCAAGCAUUGUAAACUUCUUUUGUCAAGGGACAAAAUCAGGCUCGAGAGCCUGACCGAGGGUACUUGAAGAAAAAGCAUCGGCUAACUCCGUGCCAGCAGCCGCGGUAAUACGGAGGGAGCAAGCGUUGUCCGGAAUUACUGGGUGUAAAGGGAGCGUAGGCGGGAUAGUAAGUUGAUUGUUAAAACUAUCGGCUCAACUGGUAGAUGCGAUCAAAACUGCAAUUCUUGAGUGAAGUAGAGGCAGGCGGAAUUCCUAGUGUAGCGGUGAAAUGCGUAGAUAUUAGGAGGAACACCAGUGGCGAAGGCGGCCUGCUGGGCUUUAACUGACGCUGAGGCUCGAAAGUGUGGGUAGCAAACAGGAUUAGAUACCCUAGUAGUC
rnacentral:rRNA from 1 species